AUGCUCUAUCGGUUUCAAUUCCUUCCGCUCUUCAUCCUGUGUCAGGGCAUGGGCACAGUGAUAAGGACAGUAAUGGAGGCCAGAUUCAAUCUUUGGACGUUGCUAGUCCUGUGGUCGAGCAAGAAGAUUUGGGAGAUUAUAGUCCUGAGCACACAGUCCAACCUCUGGAAGAUCAUGCAUGAAGGUUAUCAGGAGGGCUCUUAUAAGGAAUUUGUUAUACCCAGAGACUGCCCUCGCAAGAUCCCCCCAACAUGUUACCUCUCUGCUGCCAGUCAAGCUAUAACCAAGGGGUUCUCUACACCACAGACCUGCUGCAAUGCUCCCUUGGCCAUCCUUGACGCUCACAGCACCUCAGCUAUUCAUAGGAAAAGAAAAGGUAAAACCCCCAUGGUUAUUACGGAAGUGAGAAGGAGUGCAAGGUUGAAGCACAUCCAGAAGGGCUAUAAGGGUAAAACCUGCUUUGACAAAAACUGUCUUGUUUGCUCUGCCAUAGCACCGCCAAUCAACAAGAAAGUGAUUCGGAACCUGUAUGACAAAUUUAGUGUGCCUGAUGUGCAGCCACUAAGCCCAAGGGAGAACAAGAAAAACACCAAGAAGAAUGAUGCAGAAAGCAAGAACAAGAAGCCCAAGAAGAAGUAA
rnacentral:rRNA from 1 species